rnacentral:rRNA from 1 species
AACGAACGCUGGCGGCAUGCCUAACACAUGCAAGUCGAACGAAACCUUCGGGUCUAGUGGCGCACGGGUGCGUAACGCGUGGGAACCUGCCCUUAGGUUCGGAAUAACUCCCCGAAAGGGGUGCUAAUACCGGAUAAUGUCUUCGGACCAAAGAUUUAUCGCCUUUGGAUGGGCCCGCGUUGGAUUAGCUAGUUGGUAGGGUAAAAGCCUACCAAGGCGACGAUCCAUAGCUGGUCGGAGAGGAUGAUCAGCCACACUGGGACUGAGACACGGCCCAGACUCCUACGGGAGGCAGCAGUGGGGAAUAUUGGACAAUGGGCGAAAGCCUGAUCCAGCAAUGCCGCGUGAGUGAUGAAGGCCUUAGGGUUGUAAAGCUCUUUUACCCGGGAUGAUAAUGACGGUACCGGGAGAAUAAGCUCCGGCUAACUACGUG